GCUGGUGUAGCUCAACUGGCAGAGCAGCUGAUUUGUAAUCAGCAGGUUACGGGUUCGAUUCCUGCCACCAGCUCCA
rnacentral:tRNA from 3 species